UGGAGAGUUUGAUCCUGGCUCAGGACGAACGCUGGCGGCGUGCUUAACACAUGCAAGUCGAACGGUAAGGCCCUUCGGGGUACACGAGUGGCGAACGGGUGAGUAACACGUGGGUGAUCUACCCUGCACAUCGGGAUAAGCCUGGGAAACUGGGUCUAAUACCGGAUAGGACCACAAGAUGCAUGUCUUGUGGUGGAAAGCUUUUGCGGUGUGGGAUGGGCCCGCGGCCUAUCAGCUAGUUGGUGGGGUGAUAGCCCACCAAGGCGACGACGGGUAGCCGGCCUGAGAGGGUGUCCGGCCACACUGGGACUGAGAUACGGCCCAGACUCCUACGGGAGGCAGCAGUGGGGAAUAUUGCACAAUGGGCGAAAGCCUGAUGCAGCGACGCCGCGUGGGGGAUGACGGCCUUCGGGUUGUAAACCUCUUUCACCAUCGACGAAGGUUCGGGUUUUCUCGGAUUGACGGUAGGUGGAGAAGAAGCACCGGCCAACUACGUGCCAGCAGCCGCGGUA
rnacentral:rRNA from 1 species